rnacentral:rRNA from 1 species
GACGAACGCUGGCGGCGUGCUUAACACAUGCAAGUCGAACGAAGAGCGAUGGAAGCUUGCUUCUAUCAAUCUUAGUGGCGAACGGGUGAGUAACGCGUAAUCAACCUGCCCUUCAGAGGGGGACAACAGUUGGAAACGACUGCUAAUACCGCAUACGAUCUAAUCUCGGCAUCGAGGAUAGAUGAAAGGUGGCCUCUACAUGUAAGCUAUCACUGAAGGAGGGGAUUGCGUCUGAUUAGCUAGUUGGAGGGGUAACGGCCCACCAAGGCGAUGAUCAGUAGCCGGUCUGAGAGGAUGAACGGCCACAUUGGGACUGAGACACGGCCCAGACUCCUACGGGAGGCAGCAGUGGGGAAUCUUCCGCAAUGGACGAAAGCCUGACGGAGCAACGCCGCGUGAGUGAUGACGGCCUUCGGGUUGUAAAGCUCUGUUAAUCGGGACGAAAGGCCUUCUUGCGAAUAGUGAGAAGGAUUGACG